UUCUGACGGAGAGUUUGAUCCUGGCUCAGGGCGAACGCUGGCGGCGUGCCUUAGACAUGCAAGUCGAGCGGCAGGCAGUCCUUCGGGGCUGCCGAGAGCGGCGAACGGCGGAGUAACACGUGGGUAACCUGCCCCGAAGACCGGGACAACCCUGGGAAACUGGGGCUAAUACCGGAUGUGGAUACGCUGGCUUCGGCUGGCGUAUCUAAAGGGAGCAAUCCGCUUCGGGAUGGGCCCGCGGCCUAUCAGGUAGUUGGUGAGGUAACGGCUCACCAAGCCUGCGACGGGUAGCCGGUCUGAGAGGAUGGCCGGCCCGAGGGGCACUGAGACACGGGCCCCACUCCUACGGGAGGCAGCAGUCGGGAAUCUUGGGCAAUGGGCGAAAGCCUGACCCAGCGACGCCGCGUGGAGGACGAAGCCCUUCGGGGUGUAAACUCCUUUUGCCAGGGACGACUUCGGACGGUACCUGGUGAAUAAGCCCCGGCUAACUACGUGCCAGCAGCCGCGGUAAUACGUAGGGGGCGAGCGUUGCCCGGAUUUACUGGGCGUAAAGCGCACGUAGGCGGCUCCGUAAGUCUGGUGUGAAAUCUCCCGGCUCAACCGGGAGGCUGCACUGGAUACUACGGGGCUCGAGGGCAGGAGAGGAGAUUGGAAUUCCCGGUGUAGCGGUGAAAUGCAUUGAUAUCGGGAGGAACACCAGUGGCGAAGGCGGAUCUCUGGCCUGCUUCUGACGCUGAGGUGCGAAAGCUGGGGGAGCGAAAGGGAUUAGAUACCCCUGUAGUCCCAGCCCUAAACGAUGGGCGCUAGGUGUUGGGGGCGAAGCCCUCAGUGCCGCAGCUAACGCAUUAAGCGCCCCGCCUGGGGAGUACGGCCGCAAGGUUGAAACUCAAAGGAAUUGACGGGGGCCCGCACAAGCGGUGGAGCAUGUGGAUUAAUUCGAUACUAACCGAAGAACCUUACCUGGGCUUGACAUGCACGGGAAAGCCCCUGGAAACAGGGGCCCUCCACGGGGAAACUCGUGGACUCGUGCACACCGGUUGCAUGGCUGUCGUCAGCUCGUGCCGUGAGGUGUUGGGUUAAGUCCCGCAACGAGCGCAACCCCUGUCCUCUGUUGCCAGCGGGUCAUGCCGGGCACUCGGAGGAGACUGCCGUGGUCAACACGGAGGAAGGUGGGGAUGACGUCAAGUCAGCAUGGCGGUUACGUCCAGGGCUUCACACAUGCUACAAUGGGCGGUACAAAGGGCAGCGAACGCGCGAGCGGGAGCGAAUCCCAAAAAACCGCCCUCAGUUGGGAUCGCAGUCUGCAACUCGACUGCGUGAACGCGGAAUCGCUAGUAACGGCGGGUCAGCCAUACCGCCGUGAAUACGUUCCCGGGCCUUGUACACACCGCCCGUCAAGUCACCCGAGUCGGCUGCACCCGAAGUCGGUCGCCUAACCCGCAAGGGAGGGAGCCGCCGAAGGUGGUGGCUGGUAAGGGGGACUAAGUCGUAACAAGGUAGCCGUACCGGAAGGUGCGGCUGGAUCACCUCCUUUA
rnacentral:rRNA from 1 species